GAUGAACGCUGGCGGCGUGCUUAACACAUGCAAGUCGAACGAAGCACUGUGGAAUGCGUCUUCGGACAAAUGAAACAGUGACUUAGUGGCGGACGGGUGAGUAACGCGUGGGUAACCUGCCUCACACAGGGGGAUAACAGUUAGAAAUGACUGCUAAAACCGCAUAACAUAGCGAGACCGCAUGACCUUGCUAUCAAAUAUUUAUAGGUGUGGGAUGGGCCCGCGUCUGAUUAGCUAGUUGGUAGGGUAAUGGCCUACCAAGGCGACGAUCAGUAGCCGGCUUGAGAGAGUGAACGGCCACAUUGGGACUGAGACACGGCCCAAACUCCUACGGGAGGCAGCAGUGGGGGAUAUUGGACAAUGGGGGAAACCCUGAUCCAGCGACGCCGCGUGAGUGAAGAAGUAUUUCGGUAUGUAAAGCUCUAUCAGCAGGGAAGAAAAAUAACCAAAUUGACUGUACCUGACUAAGAAGCCCCGGCUAACUACGUGCCAGCAGCCGCAGUAAAAC
rnacentral:rRNA from 1 species